GACGAACGCUGGCGGCGUGCUUAACACAUGCAAGUCGAACGGAAAGGCCCUGCUUUUGUGGGGUGCUCGAGUGGCGAACGGGUGAGUAACACGUGAGUAACCUGCCCUUGACUUUGGGAUAACUUCAGGAAACUGGGGCUAAUACCGGAUAGGAGCUCCUGCUGCAUGGUGGGGGUUGGAAAGUUUCGGCGGUUGGGGAUGGACUCGCGGCUUAUCAGCUUGUUGGUGGGGUAGUGGCUUACCAAGGCUUUGACGGGUAGCCGGCCUGAGAGGGUGACCGGCCACAUUGGGACUGAGAUACGGCCCAGACUCUUACGGGAGGCAGCAGUGGGGAAUAUUGCACAAUGGGCGGAAGCCUGAUGCAGCAACGCCGCGUGCGGAUGACGGCCUUCGGGUUGUAAACCGCUUUCGCCUGUGACGAAGCGUGAGUGACGGUAAUGGGUAAAGAAGCACCGGCUAACUACGUG
rnacentral:rRNA from 1 species